UCUGAACGAAUUCUCCAAAAGUAGGAAUGUUAACAACAACUUCUUCCCUUUCAUCUUCUUCAUUCAUUCUUUCAACUUCUUCUAACUCGUAGACAUGUCUCUCAUACUUUCCCUCGGGGUUUUCAAGAAACUGUAUCAGUGACUCUAAUCUCUGCAUCCAUCCAGAAAAUGGUGAAAACAGUUUACCAAGCUUACCAAUACGCUCAUCAAGAAACACAUCGAGAAGAACAUGAUCGUUCUUGUUAAUCCCCAUUCUGUCCCGGUUUCCGGAUAAAAUGAUAUUCCCUAGCCUGUAAGUAGCAUUUUCCGCUGUCGAGUUUUCCUUAAAUAAGGAUAAGAGCCUUGAUGUAACUUGUACAAUAGCUGUGUUUGUAGGAGCACACACAACUGUCUUGCACCUUAGUUUGAGAAGGGCAAAGAGAAGAGUCGCGACCGUCUUUGUUUUGCCUGUUCUAGGAGGUCCCCAUAUCAGUUUCACACUGUUCUUAUGGGUACAGUUUCUUGUCUCAAGGCAGCCCAAGAUUGCAUCCUCUUGGGAAGAGUUCAAUUUCGUUGAACGGAUUAUAUCCAAAACAAGGUCAGAUCUCCCAUCAUUUUCAGAACAAAAACAUUGUUCUGUACCCUCAGUAUUAGCCUGAAGCACACUCUUGGUUAGAGUCGAUAUGUCAGCUUCGUUGUGCAAAGCAUUCCAAAUUCGAGUGUUUGUUGUUAAAGUCAUUAGAAAAACACCGAAGCUAUAGUUCUCAAGAGGUGAUAUCGAUCUAGACAAAUGAACAGAGAUUUUAAGAUUUUAAGAUCACCUCUAUAGUUCUCAAGAGGUGAUAUCGAUAUUAGACUGUGGGCUUCCAACCUAAAACCAAUUGGCAAUAGGUGGAGAGGCGCAUAUCUUAUAUAUACCACUUAAGAUCCUACUCAACUUCCGAUGUGGGACAUUGUCCCUAAUAUCGAGAACUCUGAUCGCCUGAAACCGAGAAUCUGAUUCUGGACUAUGGAAAGUUUUGAAAUUUGGCCGGAAAAUUGAAACCCUAAAUUUUU
rnacentral:sRNA from 1 species